rnacentral:rRNA from 1 species
UGGGGAAUACUGCACAAUGGGGGAAACCCUGAUGCAGCAACGCCGCGUGCGGGAUGACGGCCUUCGGGUUGUAAACCGCUUUCAGCCAUGACGAAGCUUUUGUGACGGUAAUGGCAGAAGAAGCACCGGCUAACUACGUGCCAGCAGCCGCGGUGAUACGUAGGGUGCGAGCGUUGUCCGGAAUUAUUGGGCGUAAAGAGCUUGUAGGCGGUUUGUCGCGUCGAAAGUGUAAACUCAGUGCUUAACGCUGAGCCUGCUUUCGAUACGGGCUGACUUGAGGACGGUAGGGGAGAAUGGAAUUCCCGGUGGAGCGGUGGAAUGCGCAGAUAUCGGGAGGAACACCAGUGGCGAAGGCGGUUCUCUGGACCUUUCCUGACGCUGAGAAGCGAAAGCGUGGGUAGCAAACAGG